rnacentral:rRNA from 1 species
UACGGGGGGGGGGCAAGCGUUGUUCGGAAUUACUGGGCGUAAAGGGCUCGUAGGCGGCCAACUAAGUCCGACGUGAAAUCCCCAGGCUUAACCUGGGAACUGCGUCGGAUACUGGAUGGCUUGAAUUCGGGAGAGGGAUGCAGAAUUCCAGGUGUAGCGGUGAAAUGCGUAGAUAUCUGGAGGAAUACCGGUGGCGAAGGCGGCAUCCUGGACCGACAUUGACGCUGAUGAGCGAAAGCUAGGGGAGCAAACGGG